rnacentral:rRNA from 1 species
GUGGGCCCUCGAAGUCCUGCGGCGGGAAGAUUCAGUCGUGAGGCCGGGUACGGUUUUGGCGGCGGUCGACCGGCUCCCUCUCGGGGGAGCUGGGCUCGCCGUCGAGGCCGGAUCCCGGCGAUGCCGACGCAUUUCUCUCCCGUCGGAUGGACGCCGCAACCGGUUGGGUAGCGACCUGGGCCGAAGAGGAGGUGGCCGGUGGUUCUCUCUGUAGAGUUCUCUCCGGUGUUAUAACUCGGCGGUCGAAAUGAAACUGGGGCGGAACUACCCGACCGUGGUGUCACGAGGCCCUUAAUGGGACUCCGUCGUCUCCUCCUGUCUAACAGGAUCCCGGAGUCGCAGGCCGAAAAGAAAUUCCCACGGGCCGAGAGAGUCGGGCGCACACUCCGUGUCACGAGUGGCGCCGUCGGCAGCUCGCCCUCAGAGGGGCGGCCGCGACGGUUCCGGAGGAGGUCGGCGGUUGGCGGCGAGUAGGUCGGUCACCCACCUCACCCGUCUUGAAACACGGACCAAGGAGUCUAACAUGUGUGCGAGUCACUGGGACUCGAAUAAGCCCAAAGGCGCAAUGAAAGUGAAGACCGGGGUUGCCCGCCCCAGGUCAGGUCGUGAUCCCCGCUCUAGGGCGGGGCGCAACGGCGGCCCGCCGCGUCCGCUCCGUCGGUGCGGCGGAGCUCGAGCACACACGUUGGGACCCGAAAGAUGGUGAGCUAUGCCCGGGCAGGACGAGGCCAGAGGAAACUCUGGUGGAGGUCCGCAGCGG